AUACAUAUAUUAUUGUAACUGUUAUUCCUAUACAUAUUUUACACGCACACACACACACACACACACACACACACACACACACACACACACACACACACACACACACACACACACACACACACACACACACACACACACACACACACACACACACACACACACACACACACACACACACACACACACACACACACACACACACAUACUUAACUUAACGUGACUGCUAUCCAUUGUCAAGGAAUCAGGAAAAGUAAUUUCACAACUGGAGAAACGUGCCAGCGAACAGAGAGAGAGAGAGAGAGAGAGAGAGAGAGAGAGAGAGAGAAGGUAAAGGUGGAGGAGAAGGUGGAGGAUAACGAGGUCGAGGAAGACAAGUGGAAGUGAAAGAAGAGGAAGGAGGGGGAGAGAAGGAAAGGAGGAAGAAGGACGAGUAGGAGGAGGAGGAGGAGGAGGAGGAGGAGGAGGAGGAAGAGAGAAUGUUCCUAUGCAAUAUAAGUAAACUGACGUGACUGUCUAGAUGUAGCAAGAUAGUGAAUCUCUCUCUCUCUCUCUCUCUCUCUCUCUCUCUCUCUCUCUCUCUCUCUCUCUCUCUCUCUCUCUCUCUCUCUCUCUCUCUCUCUUAGUAAAUAACGGGAAAAAGGAUAAACAAAUCGAGGAAUGGACAGGAGGAGAUAGGAAAUGAAGAGAAAGAGAGAGAGAAAAAGAAUAAAGGAGGGAGAGAGGAAUGUGAGGUAAUAGCAGAUGGGGGAAGAGAGAAAGACGGAUGCAUGAAAUGAAGGAAUUUUAAGUAACGGAUAACUGAGAGAGAGAGAGAGAGAGAGAGAGAGAGAGAGAGAGAGAGAGAGAGAGAGAGAGAGAGAGAGAGAGAGAGAGAGGAAUAAACAAAAGGAUGGAUUACGAAAGUGAAAAUAAGAAGCUUGAUCAUUUCAGAUAACAAAGAGGAUUUUGGUAAUGAUAAUGGUUGUUAUGAUGAUGAUGAUGAUGAUGAUGAUGAUGAUGAUGACGAUGGUGAUGAUGGUAAUAAUAAUGAUAAUAAUAAUAAUAAUAAUAAUAAUAAUAAUAAUAAUAAUAAUAAUGAUAAUAAGAAUAGUAAUCUAGGUACAUAACUAAUAUAAAUUGUCAUAACAUUAAUGGCAAUAACGCAAGAAUUACUUUUCUUUCAUAUAUAUUUCGUCUUUUUGUACAGUUUUUCCUCCCCUAGAUUACACGCGGCAAUUUAUUGUUAAUAUCUAAUUACAGUUUCUAAUUAAUUUAUGCACACUUUAAAUGCAUUAGUUAAAUAAUGCAACACAGCUAUCACUACAUCAUAAAUUACUACUUACAUAAUCUGCAUAUUAACUAAGAAAUAUCAUAGAGCUUCAAAAUAAAUAAAAAUCACGCAAUUGUUUAUCAUCCUAAUUGGGCUUCUUGUAUGAACGUCGCUACAGGUGAGGUGACGCCGCUCAGGUGAAGUCAUUACCCAGAUGAGUUACGUCAAAGAAAACAGGUGAGACGACUUAGUGAGUGAAGAUAAUUUAAUGAAAACUUGAGGUAAGAGGAAGUUAAGGAAUCGCGUUAAUAACACACAGGUGAUGAUAACCAGGUGAAUUUGGGAAAAGCAGACGAUAAGGAUAAUAAUGAUAAUCAUGAUGAUGAGUGGCUGGAUAAGCUGAUAUUGAAAGAUUAAACGAGAAUUUGUAAAAAAAAAAAAAUGUACUUUUAAUUGAGACAGUGAAAUAUUAAUGAUGUUGAUGGUAGUAGUAGUAGUAGUAGUAGUAGUAGCGGUAACAACAGCAUUUGUAAAUACGGCAGUAACAAUAACAAGAAGAAAAAAAAUAUGAAUAAGACCAAAAUAAAAGAUGAAAGGAGAGGAGAAAGAAAACAACGAAUAAAAAAAAUAAGUAAAUAAA